GGUUAAGCGACUAAGCGUACACGGUGGAUGCCCUGGCAGUCAGAGGCGAUGAAGGACGUGCUAAUCUGCGAUAAGCGUCGGUGAGGUGAUAUGAACCGUUAUAACCGGCGAUUUCCGAAUGGGGAAACCCAGUGUGUUUCGACACACUAUCAUUAACUGAAUCCAUAGGUUAAUGAGGCGAACCGGGGGAACUGAAACAUCUAAGUACCCCGAGGAAAAGAAAUCAACCGAGAUUCCCCCAGUAGCGGCGAGCGAACGGGGAGGAGCCCAGAGCCUGAAUCAGUGUGUGUGUUAGUGGAAGCGUCUGGAAAGGCGCGCGAUACAGGGUGACAGCCCCGUACACAAAAAUGCACAUAUUGUGAGCUCGAUGAGUAGGGCGGGACACGUGGUAUCCUGUCUGAAUAUGGGGGGACCAUCCUCCAAGGCUAAAUACUCCUGACUGACCGAUAGUGAACCAGUACCGUGAGGGAAAGGCGAAAAGAACCCCGGCGAGGGGAGUGAAAAAGAACCUGAAACCGUGUACGUACAAGCAGUGGGAGCCUCUUAAUGGGGUGACUGCGUACCUUUUGUAUAAUGGGUCAGCGACUUAUAUUCUGUAGCAAGGUUAACCGAAUAGGGGAGCCGAAGGGAAACCGAGUCUUAACUGGGCGUUAAGUUG
rnacentral:rRNA from 1 species